rnacentral:rRNA from 1 species
GGCACGUGCGCGUUGCUACACAUGCAGUCGAACGGGGUAUAUAAGCGGAAGUUCACGGAUGGAAGGUUAUAUACUUAGUGGCGGACGGGUGAGUAACGCGUGGGCAACCUGCCCCGUGCCGGGGGAUACCGCCUGGAAACAGGCGCUAAUACCGCAUAAGCGCAUACAGCCGCAUGGGUGUAUGCGGAAAGCUCCGGCGGCACGGGAUGGGCCCGCGCCCGAUUAGCCAGUUGGCGGGGUAACGGCCCACCAAAGCGACGAUCGGUAGCCGGCCUGAGAGGGCGGACGGCCACAUUGGGACUGAGACACGGCCCAAACUCCUACGGGAGGCAGCAGUGGGGAAUAUUGCACAAUGGGGGAAACCCUGAUGCAGCAACGCCGCGUGGGUGAAGGAGCGUUUCGGCGCGUAAAGCCCUGUCAGCGGGGAAGAAGAAAGACGGUACCCGACCAAGAAGCCCCGGCUAACUACGUGCCAGCAGCCGCGGUAAUACGUANGGGGCGAGCGUUAUCCGGAAUUACUGGGUGUAAAGGGAGCGUAGACGGCGAGGUAAGCCUGAAGUGGAAGCCCGCGGCCCAACCGCGGAACUGCUUUGGGAACUGUUUUGCUGGAGUAUGGGAGGGGUAAGCGGAAUUCCUGGUGUACCGGUGAA